rnacentral:misc_RNA from 1 species
UCGAGUUACCGAACUCCCAAACCCGUGUGAACCUUACCACUGUUGCUUCGGCGGUCACGCCCCGGGAGCCCAGCGCUGCCCGGAGUCAGGCGUCCGCCGGAGGACCAAAACUCUUGAUUUUACAGCGUCUCUUCUGAGUGGAUUAUACAAAUGAAUCA